AACCCGUGGGAGAACUGGGCGAGCUAAGCCAAACGGAGGGCGGGAGAAAGGAAGCGGCAGCUGGCGCCUCUCGGCAACUCUAACCCUCUGGUAGAGAUCGCCAAGAUUGGUAUCCAUAGAGCUUGCUGUGGUUUGAAUGUAUCCCCCAAAGUUCAUGUGUUGGAAACUUUAUUCUUAAUGCAAAAGUGUUAAGAGAUCCCGGAGAGCUUGUCCACUGCAACAGUGCAACACGCUAAGGGCUGUGUGGUGGCACAGGGGCUCUGAGCUCCUGACCUGAGUCAUGUGGAAGGCUGACACCCAGCCCUAUACCUACAAGCUGGGCGAGACCCCUGGCAGUUGCCUACACCCCUGCUGAGACCCAGUACCUCCCUGUAAAAUGGGGGAAAUAAUGCCUGCCUCACAGGGUUUCGAUGAAGGGUGAGUGAAAUAAGGAAACAUCUGGAAACCUCUUGGAGGAGAUCUGCCACGUGGCCUCCAGUGAACUGUAGACUCCUGCAUAGCCUUCCAAAGUUCUUCAUUUGGUGAAUAUUAUGAGAAAUGACACGUAUGACUUUCUCCCAAAUACGUGGCUUAAACCCAAAGUACAGUGAAAUCAGAACUGACCACACAGAGUAAUUGGGGGAAGGGAGUUAUUUGUGACACAAAGCCCUCAUCACUUUAUAAAAGUACUUGCUACUGAUUACAUUGAAAACCAGUCUUCCUGAGUAAAACAUGUUUUUUGUUUUGUAUUGUUUUUGUUUUUUUGA
rnacentral:antisense_RNA from 1 species